rnacentral:rRNA from 1 species
GAUGAACGCUGGCGGCGUGCCUAACACAUGCAAGUCGAACGAAUCAGAUAUUCAACACUGAGCUUUUAGACGAGGGAAUAAAGUUAGCCAGCAUCAAGGACGAACGAUAGAGAGUCCUUUGCGCGUUAAAAAGUGUGCUAACACAGAGUUGUCUGAAUGUUGAGUGUUGAAUAUCUGAUUAGUGGCGGACGGGUGAGUAACGCGUGGGGAACCUGCCCUAUACAGGGGGAUAGCCUCGGGAAACCGGGAUUAAUACCCCAUAAAACUCUAGUAUCGCAUGAUACGUGAGUCAAAGCUGAGGCGGUAUAGGAUGGCCCCGCGUCUGAUUAGCUAGUUGGUGAGGUAACGGCUCACCAAGGCGACGAUCGGUAGCCGGCCUGAGAGGGUGGACGGCCACACUGGAACUGAGACACGGUCCAGACUCCUACGGGAGGCAGCAGUGGGGAAUAUUGCACAAUGGGGGAAACCUGAUGCAGCGACGCCG